rnacentral:lncRNA from 1 species
CAGAUUCAGAACCCACCUGCUCCUCAACCCGAACCAGAACCCGAUCCCUUUGCACCCCAUCAAAGAAAAGUACGUCGCGAAGAAGAACACGAACUGCGAGUGGCUCGAAGGCCACCCGUGCGAGUCGCAGGCCUCGAGCAAGGUGCACGUCUCGGGGCGAGCCUGCUCGACUGUGGUUUUGAUGAAUUCGUUGAUGAGCUGGGAGAUCACGAGGCCGAGGCCGAAGAAGAUCCCUUGGAGCUCGCGGCGGAAGAGGAAAUGGGAGACGAAUCCGCCGAGGCUGAUGAAGACCGGGACAAGGGAGAUCCAGGCGAGGAAGUGCCCGAGCUGAUCGCCGCGACGGUAGCGGACGUGUGUGAGAGUUACGGCCUUGAGCUGUUGUGGUAGGUCCAUAGCGAAGAUGGGAUAGAUCCAAAGGAAUCGUGUUAGGACAAAGAAAGUAAUAUUUUGAAAUAUUUGUCUGAAACAAAGUCGUUGGACUCAAUAGUACUUUCUUAAAAUUAUAGUUACAUUUCGUAAUUAUUAAAACUACUAGGGACUUAAAGAAAAAUACAAGUCGGCGAAAGCUCCGUGUUUCUUUUUCGGGUUUCAUGGGCGGGCGGGAAUGGAUCCAAAUUAUCCAACUCGUCGUUAUUUUUUAUUUGCCGGAAAAAAAAUUCGUAAAAACCUUUCUGGUGCUUCGGAAUCAAAUAUCUCCGAUGCGAUUCCGAAUCAAACCUACUUGAAAAAACGAACUAAGCUCCGGCGUCUCCAAAUGGCAGAUGAUGGCUCCGCGUCUAAUCGAAGAGACCCGAUUAAGUCCUCAGGUAAUUAUUUUCAUUCUCCCUCCGUCUUCUGUUCCACCGUGAACCCUUAGUGUUUAAUUUGGCAGAUGAUAGCUUUUCUAAGGGUGUUAGAUAGGGGAAACAGUGUUCUUACUUGAUUCCCGAUAAAUAUGACGUGGAUGUUGAUUGUAUUAUCUGGAUAUGACUGUGUAGUUGGGAAUGUUGCGGGACAAAGAAGGCGGCAACAAGCUGUUACGGUGGCCAAGGAAAGGAGAGAAUCACUUGUUCGGGCUAAGCGGCUUUGUAGGGUGGGUACUAAUGGCGGUGAUGAUGAGGAUGCAUUUGUUGAGAAUGAAAUGAUGAUUGAUGAAGAGCAGCCAGUUUUGGAGGCUCAAACAGUUAAAGCCGUGGAAGAGCUUAAGUCUGCUGUUCAAUCUCAGUAAGUGAUUCCUGUUAAGCUUAGGAAUUGAUUUGUAAUUCUUUUUGCUAUCUACACUGGUUUGGGUUGGCUUAGUGAAUAAUGAUUACCUAAAACAUGUUUUAUGAAUUGUACUUAUCUUCUUCCUUAAUUUUCAGGGGAAAAGGUGUAAUGCAGAAGAGGGUGACUGCUCUUAGAGAACUCAGGCGUUUACUGUCGAAAUCAGAGUUCCCUCCUAUUGAUGCUGCGCUCAGCGCUGGUGCAAUACCUUUGCUUGUGCAGUGCCUUUCAUUUGGCUCUCCUGAUGAACAGGUUUCUAACAUUAAGUUUGAGAUUAUUCCAAAGUAGAUUUGUGAUCUUUGAUCUCACUUCUUUCUAAUUACAGUUACUUGAGUCAGCUUGGUGUCUAACUAACAUCGCUGCUGGAAAACCUGAAGAAACAAAAGCUCUAUUGCCUGCACUGCCGUUGCUCGUUGCUCACCUUGGAGGUUUGUAUUGACUAACUAAGUCUGUUUUCAUUGCUCUUCUCUUUUUGUUGGAUCAAAUUUCUUAUGCUUUUUAAUAUUCAGAAAAGAGCUCUGCGCCGGUGGCUGAGCAGUGUGCUUGGGCAAUUGGUAACGUUGCGGGCGAAGGAGAAGAGUUGAGAAAUGUACUUUUGUCUCAAGGGGCUUUGCCACCUCUAGCACGUAUGAUUUUUCCUGACAAGGGCUCAACUGUAAGAACAGCUGCAUGGGCAUUGUCAAAUCUCAUUAAGGUGUGAAAAAGUCUGGGACUAUUUUUUAUCACAUUGGGUUAUGAUUACAAAUCCAUGGGUACACAGUGAUGUCACUAACUAUGCAUUAAUAUAGGGACCUGAAUCAAAAGCAGCAGCGCAGCUUGUCAGAGUCGAUGGGAUAGUUGACGCAAUUCUCCGACACUUGAAAAAAACGUGAGCAAAGUUUCAUCUCUCUUAUUGCAGCAAGUGCUUAGCUUGUUUUGAUGUCUUGCCUCUUACUGAUUACUGAGCUUCAUGCGGGUCUUUUGCAUGUCAUCAAUAUUCUAUUGUUUAACUUUGGUGGAUGAUUUUAUUAAAAUGUUGUUGAUUGUUGAAUUCAGGGAUGAAGAAAUUGCCACAGAAAUUGCUUGGAUCGUUGUUUACCUUUCUGCCCUCUCAGAUAUCGCUACAAGUAUGCUUUUGAAGGGAGGCAUUCUUCAACUACUUGUGGAAAGAUUAGCAACUUCAGACAGUCUACAACUUCUCAUCCCGGUAACUUUCCAAGAGACCUAAUUGUUCCAAAAGAAACAGGAUCCUAGUUAGUUUUUAUUUUAUAUAUUACAGUGUAUUAUAUACUAUUCAAGGGAUUGCUUCCAAGUCGUAUUUGUUUCAUUUAUACCCAUACUAGCAUAUGAUUGCUAAAGCAGAGAAUACUAACUACAUUGCUAUUUUCUUUUUUCAAAUGCUGCAUUUUGGUUUCUGUCUAAACUUGAGUUUGAAUUCAGGUUCUAAGAAGUUUAGGCAACUUUGUCUCUGUUGAUCCCAAAGCAAUGUUAACCAUCCUUGUCGGUGGACAGAACACUGAAGGUUAGUAUCGGUGGAUACAGCGUUAGCUUAAUCAUUUAUAUUGUUCUAGAUACUGACAUCCGGAUCAAAUUUCAGAAAACAUCAUUAAUGUGCUUGCGAAGUGCUUAAGAAGCGAACACCGCGUCUUGAAGAAGGUCAGUAUCUCAUACCCACUUCGUAUUCCCCUGUUAUCUGAAAAAAUUUCUUUUUUUUUCAUCACUGAACCCAAUUUUAUAGGAAGCUGCGUGGGUGUUAUCUAAUAUAGCUGCGGGAUCUAUUGAACACAAGAGAAUGAUACACUCAUCUGAAGCAAUGCCGUUGCUGCUACGGCUUCUCUCGACAUCACCCUUUGAUAUAAAGAAAGAAGUUGCCUAUGUCUUGGGAAACCUAUGUGUAGAAUCUGCAGAAGGAGGAGACGCAAGACCGAGGAUAAUUCAAGAGCACUUAGUCUCCAUCGUCAGUGGCGGUUGCCUCCGGGGUUUUAUUGACCUGGUCAGAUCUCCUGAUAUAGAAGCUGCUAGGCUUGGUCUUCAGUUCAUUGAGCUGGUAAGCAACUAACUAAAAUGGUCUUAAAAGCUCAGUCAUUUUGGAUCCUGAACUAUAUGGGUUUUGAUUGGUUAGGUUUUAAGCCUAUCAUAUGGCAUACUACCUUACUGACGGAAUUUAUCCGCAUUGGGCUACAUUUAUCCAAUCCAUCCCACUUCCUCAAGGUCCUAAAGCAGUGCGGUUUGCUGAACGCCAAGAAGCCACUAGAAAAGAUGUCGAACGUGCUUUUGGAGUAUUGCAAUCGAGAUUUGCAAUAGUUAAAAACCCAGCUUUACAAUGGGACAAGGAAAAAAUAGGAAGGAUUAUGAGAUGUUGUGUUAUAUUGCACAAUAUGAUAGUCGAGAACGAAAGAGACGGAUACAAUCAAAUUGAUACAUCAGAGUUCGAGUCGGGAGAGUCAAGCAGAAGUUCCCAGGUGCGAAGAAGAGAAAGUUUGAAUGUCCAUAAUAUGCUUGGCAUUCGCACUGAAGUUCGAAAUUCAGAUAAACAUGAUCGUUUGAAAGCUGAUCUCAUCGAAAAUAUCUGGCAAAUGUUUGGUAAUGUAGAUGAUUGAUCGUUGUAUGUUCAUGAAUUUUCAAUGUAAUGAAUAAAUUUCUUUUAUAAAUAUAUUGGUUAAUGUAAUCAAUUCUUAAUGUAUUGAAUAUUUUAAAACUUAUUAUAUUUUAUUCAUUUAUUUUCAAUAUAGUGAAAAGAUUUUAAAAAAAUAUAUAUAUAAUAUUAUUUUAUUUCCAUGAACCCCUUCUGCAGGUUCACCAAUGUAGGAACACAAUCGAUAGAGGUUCACAACUAUUUAUGGUCCCACCAAAAAAAUAAUAAAAAAACCUUAUGAACCCCAAGAGGGGGUUCACCAAUGCGGAUGCCCUAAGUGUGAAGAAGCUCUUGUGAGUCUCAUGUUUAUUUGAGCCUUAUAACAGUGCUUUUCCGACCUGAAAUAAGAUGAAGCAAUGCACAAAUAGAUUUAAUAUUAUGAAGGGUGAUCAAAUUCGCUAAUAAACUACAAGAAGAAUGACUUCAACUGGUUUUAGCCGUUUUUAUUAAGCUUACUGAGAAAUUGACUAAAGUAAGAUAAAAUUUUGCAAACCAGAUGUGAAAAUACGAUAACAGUAGAAAAAAAACCAGCCGAUUUCACAAAUACCAGUUAUAAUAUUAUCGAAUAACAGAGAUGGAGAGAAACCAUUGUUUUUCAUGUGUCCAUUAGUGUUUCAAUGAAUGAAUCAGUCUGCUUGAAUUCUCAAAAAUCUUAAAUCAGCAUACAGCAAACACUCACUGUUGAGGAAUGCGUAAAUGCAAAUACUACAGUCAAUUCGAUGAAUAAAUGUCAAAAUCGUCACAAUCAAGAAGAUGGAACUAGAACUAGAAGGACUAGAGUACUCCUUAGUAAAAAAUCAAGAACUAAUCAUAGCUAGAAAAUUGAGAAGACAAAAAAAAGCAAGCUGGGUUCUGAAAACAUGUGGUAAAAUUGAUUCAUAUACGUUCGCAUAGUUCCUCAUGUGUGUUUCUAAUACGUACACGUACAAAGUCAAGAAGAUAACCAAGUACAUUGAUCCAUAACCUCGACUACCUAAUUUCAUCAUUUCGUUGGUAUUAUAUCCAAACAACCGAACAUAAUAGGAUCUGAUUCAAAGAAACAUGACGAAGUUUCAGACUUACCAAAUCAAUCAGACUUAGAGUUGUUCCUAGCAGCUCUUGCAUUGUCAUACUCAAACUUCAACACAUCAGGAAUAUGAGAAGUAUCCUUAACACACAGCAUCCUCCCCAACUUACUCUCCUCAAUCACCUCAAAAUAACGAUACAACACACUAUUCACCACCCAGAACCAACUCCCCCCAACAACCGCCCCCAACGCAGCCCCCGCGAAAACCUGCACCACCGUGUGAUACCCCAAGUAAACCCUAGAAUACAUAGUCAACCCCCCCCACCACCCGCCCCCAACGCAGCCCCCGCGAAAACCUGCGCCACCGUGUGGUACCCCAAGUAAACCCUAGAAUACAUAGUCACAACAGCAAGACACCAAUGCACCAGAUUCAGAACCCACCUGCUCCUCAACCCGAACCAGAACCCGAUCCCUUUGCACCCCAUCAAAGAAAAGUACGUCGCGAAGAAGAACACGAACUGCGAGUGGCUCGAAGGCCACCCGUGCGAGUCGCAGGCCUCGAGCAAGGUGCACGUCUCGGGGCGAGCCUGCUCGACUGUGGUUUUGAUGAAUUCGUUGAUGAGCUGGGAGAUCACGAGGCCGAGGCCGAAGAAGAUCCCUUGGAGCUCGCGGCGGAAGAGGAAAUGGGAGAC